GAGCACGUAGGUGGGUUUGUAAGUCAGACGUGAAAGCCUUCUGUUCAACGGAAGAAUUGCAUCUGAAACUGCGAGUCUUGAGUGUAGGAGGGGAGAAUGGAACUUUUGGUGGAGCGGUGAAAUGCGUAGAUAUCAGAAGGAACUCCGGCGGCGAAAGCGAUUCUCUGGCCUAUUACUGACACUCAGUGUGCGAAAGCUAGGGGAGCAAACGGGAUUAGAUACCCCGGUAGUCCUAACCGUAAACGAUGGGCACUAAGUAGAGGGGUUUU
rnacentral:rRNA from 1 species